rnacentral:lncRNA from 1 species
UCUCGAGAGUGCUAGCUCGCACGAAGAUCAUCUUGUUGGCUGAUCUGGAUCCUUUCUUUAAAUCUUUCAAAUUUUUUCAAAGAUUGAAGAAAGACAUCUGGAGAAGAUGAGGAUGAAAAAAAAGUAUGGAGAGGAGACACUCUUCUCUCUUCUUUUUCUCUCUUCCCAAAUCCAUAGGAACAAACCCUAGAAAUCUAGAUUUUGCACUCACCCA